CGGACGGGUGAGUAAUGUCUGGGAAACUGCCUGAUGGAGGGGGAUAACUACUGGAAACGGUAGCUAAUACCGCAUAACGUCGCAAGACCAAAGAGGGGGACCUUCGGGCCUCUUGCCAUCAGAUGUGCCCAGAUGGGAUUAGCUAGUAGGUGGGGUAACGGCUCACCUAGACGACGAUCCCUAGCUGGUCUGAGAGGAUGACCAGCCACACUGGAACUGAGACACGGUCCAG
rnacentral:rRNA from 1 species